UACGUAGGGUCCGAGCGUUGUCCGGAGUUACUGGGCGUAAAGGGCGCGCAGGUGGCGGUGUUGGCCCGGCGUGAAAGCCCCCGGCUCAACCGGGGAGGGUCGUCGGGGACCGCACCGCUUGAGGGCGGUAGGGGCUGGUGGAAUGCCUGGUGUAGUGGUGAAAUGCGUAGAGAUCAGGCGGAACACCCGUAGCGAAGGCGGCCAGCUGGGCCGUCCCUGACACUGAGGCGCGAAGGCGUGGGGAGCGAACGGG
rnacentral:rRNA from 1 species